rnacentral:rRNA from 1 species
UACGGGGGGGGCAAGCGUUGUUCGGAAUUACUGGGCGUAAAGGGCUCGUAGGCGGCCAACUAAGUCAGACGUGAAAUCCCUCGGCUUAACCGGGGAACUGCGUCUGAUACUGGAUGGCUCGAGAUUGGGAGAGGGAUGCGGAAUUCCAGGUGUAGCGGUGAAAUGCGUAGAUAUCAGGAGGAACACCGAUGGCGAAGGCAGGUCUCUGGGCAUUAACUGACGCUGAGGAGCGAAAGCAUGGGGAGCGAACAGG